rnacentral:rRNA from 1 species
AUACGGAGGGUGCAAGCGUUGUUCGGAAUCACUGGGCGUAAAGGGCGCGCAGGCGGUUUGAUUAGUCAGAUGCGAAAGCCCACGGCUUAACCGUGGAAGUGCAUUUGAAACUGUCAGACUUGAGUAUCAGAGGGGAAAGUGGAAUUCCCGGUGUAGAGGUGAAAUUCGUAGAUAUCGGGAGGAAUACCGGUGGCAAAGGCGACUUUCUGGCUGAAUACUGACGCUGAGGCGCGAAAGCGUGGGGAGCAAACAGGAUUAGAAACCCCAGUAGUCC